GAGUUUGAUCCUGGCUCAGAUUGAACGCUGGCGGCAGGCCUAACACAUGCAAGUCGAGCGGCAGCGGGAGGAAGCUUGCUUCCUCGCCGGCGAGCGGCGGACGGGUGAGUAAUGUCUGGGGAUCUGCCCGAUGGAGGGGGAUAACCACUGGAAACGGUGGCUAAUACCGCAUAACGUCGCAAGACCAAAGUGGGGGACCUUCGGGCCUCACACCAUCGGAUGAACCCAGAUGGGAUUAGCUAGUAGGUGGGGUAAUGGCUCACCUAGGCGACGAUCCCUAGCUGGUCUGAGAGGAUGACCAGCCACACUGGAACUGAGACACGGUCCAGACUCCUACGGGAGGCAGCAGUGGGGAAUAUUGCACAAUGGGCGCAAGCCUGAUGCAGCCAUGCCGCGUGUGUGAAGAAGGCCUUCGGGUUGUAAAGCACUUUCAGCGAGGAGGAAGGUGGUGAACUUAAUACGCUCAUCAAUGACGUACUCG
rnacentral:rRNA from 1 species